rnacentral:rRNA from 1 species
UGGGGAAUAUUGCACAAUGGGCGAAAGCCUGAUGCAGCAACGCCGCGUGAGCGAUGAAGGCCUUCGGGUCGUAAAGCUCUGUCCUCAAGGAAGAUAAUGACGGUACUUGAGGAGGAAGCCCCGGCUAACUACGUGCCAGCAGCCGCGGUAAUACGUAGGGGGCUAGCGUUAUCCGGAAUUACUGGGCGUAAAGGGUGCGUAGGUGGUUUCUUAAGUCAGAGGUGAAAGGCUACGGCUCAACCGUAGUAAGCCUUUGAAACUGAGAAACUUGAGUGCAGGAGAGGAGAGUAGAAUUCCUAGUGUAGCGGUGAAAUGCGUAGAUAUUAGGAGGAAUACCAGUUGCGAAGGCGGCUCUCUGGACAGUAAUUGACGCUGAGAUGCGAAAGCGUGGGGAGCAAACA